AGUAAUGUCUGGGAAACUGCCUGAUGGAGGGGGAUAACUACUGGAAACGGUAGCUAAUACCGCAUAACGUCGCAAGACCAAAGAGGGGGACCUUCGGGCCUCUUGCCAUCGGAUGUGCCCAGAUGGGAUUAGCUUGUUGGUGGGGUAACGGCUCACCAAGGCGACGAUCCCUAGCUGGUCUGAGAGGAUGACCAGCCACACUGGAACUGAGACACGGUCCAGACUCCUACGGGAGGCAGCAGUGGGGAAUAUUGCACAAUGGGCGCAAGCCUGAUGCAGCCAUGCCGCGUGUAUGAAGAAGGCCUUCGGGUUGUAAAGUACUUUCAGCGGGGAGGAAGGGAGUAAAGUUAAUACCUUUGCUCAUUGACGUUACCCGCAGAAGAAGCACCGGCUAACUCCGUGCCAGCAGCCGCGGUAAUACGGAGGGUGCAAGCGUUAAUCGGAAUUACUGGGCGUAAAGCGCACGCAGGCGGUUUGUUAAGUCAGAUGUGAAAUCCCCGGGCUCAACCUGGGAACUGCAUCUGAUACUGGCAAGCUUGAGUCUCGUAGAGGGGGGUAGAAUUCCAGGUGUAGCGGUGAAAUGCGUAGAGAUCUGGAGGAAUACCGGUGGCGAAGGCGGCCCCCUGGACGAAGACUGACGCUCAGGUGCGAAAGCGUGGGGAGCAAACAGGAUU
rnacentral:rRNA from 1 species